AUGGAAAUGUGCGUCCGAGCAGUGAGUGUGAGAAGUAGGCAAAUGCGCUUCUCGCGAAGCAUGAGCUGGGAUGGGGAAGGAAAUUAAGUACGGAAGUUCCUGAUUUCACGCUGUCAAGAAAAGCCUCGAGGAAGAGUAGUACUGCCCGUACCGCAAACCGACACAGGUAGAUGAGGAGAGAAUCCUAAGGUGAGCGAGAGAACUCUCGUUAAGGAACUCGGCAAAAUGACCCCGUAACUUCGGGAGAAGGGGUGC
rnacentral:rRNA from 1 species